rnacentral:rRNA from 1 species
AUGAACGCUGGCGGCGUGCUUAACACAUGCAAGUCGAACGGAAAGGCUCCUGCUUGCAGGGGUACUCGAGUGGCGAACGGGUGAGUAACACGUGGGUGAUCUGCCCUGCACUUCGGGAUAAGCCUGGGAAACUGGGUCUAAUACCGGAUAGGACCACAUUUUGGAUGGUGUGGUGGAAAGUUUUUCGGUGUGGGAUGAGCUCGCGGCCUAUCAGCUUGUUGGUGGGGUAAUGGCCUACCAAGGCGUCGACGGGUAGCCGGCCUGAGAGGGUAUACGGCCACAUUGGGACUGAGAUACGGCCCAGACUCCUACGGGAGGCAGCAGUGGGGAAUAUUGCACAAUGGGCGCAAGCCUGAUGCAGCGACGCCGCGUGGGGGAUGACGGCCUUCGGGUUGUAAACUCCUUUCGCUAGGGACGAAGCGCAAGUGACGGUACCUGGAGAAGAAGCACCGGCUAACUACGUG